ensembl:rRNA 5S_rRNA 5S ribosomal RNA
AUCUACAGCCACGCUACCUCGAACAAGUCUGAUCCCAUCAGAUCUAAGCUAAGCAGGGUCGGAAGCUAAGCAGGGUUGGGCCUGGUUAGUACUUGGAUGAGAGACCACCUAGGAAGACCAGGUGCUGUAGGUG